ACAGGUGGUGCAUGGUUGUCGUCAGCUCGUGUCGUGAGAUGUUGGGUUAAGUCCCGCAACGAGCGCAACCCUCGUUCUAUGUUGCCAGCACGUGAUGGUGGGGACUCAUAGGAGACUGCCGGGGUCAACUCGGAGGAAGGUGGGGACGACGUCAAAUCAUCAUGCCCCUUAUGUCUUGGGCUUCACGCAUGCUACAAUGGCCGGUACAAAGGGUUGCGAUACUGUGAGGUGGAGCUAAUCCCAAAAAGCCGGUCUCAGUUCGGAUUGGGGUCUGCAACUCGACCCCAUGAAGUCGGAGUCGCUAGUAAUCGCAGAUCAGCAACGCUGCGGUGAAUACGUUCCCGGGCCUUGUACACACCGCCCGUCAAGUCACGAAAGUUGGUAACACCCGAAGCCGGUGGCCUAACCCCUUUGUGGGAGGGAGCUGUCGAAGGUGGGACUGGCGAUUGGGANUAAGUCGUAACAAGGUAGCCGUACCGGAAGGUGCGG
rnacentral:rRNA from 1 species